AUAGUUGGAUAAUGUGUCUGUGUUGUGAUAGUAGGAUAAUGUGUCUGUGUUGUGAUAGUUGGAUAAUGUGUCUGUAUUGUGAUAGUUGGAUAAUGUGUCUGUAUUGUGAUAGUUGGUUGUGAUAGUAGGAUAAUGUGUCUGUGGUGUGAUAGUUGGAUAAUGUGUCUGUAUUGUGAUAGUAGGAUAAUGUGUCUGUAUUGUGAUAGUAGGAUAAUAUGUCUGUGUUGUGAUAGUUGGAUAAUGUGUCUGUAUUGUGAUAGUUGGAUAAUGUGUCUGUGUUGUGAUAGUAGGAUAAUGUGUCUGUAUUGUGAUAGUAGGAUAAUGUGUCUGUAUUGUGAUAGUUGGAUAAUGUGUCUGUAUUGUGAUAGGUGGUUGUGAGAGUAGGAUAAUGUCUGUAUUGUGAUAGUUGGUUGUGAUAGUAGGAUAAUAUGUCUGUAUUGUGAUAGGUGGUUGUGAGAGUAGGAUAAUAUGUCUGUAUUGUGAUAGGUGGUUGUGAGAGUAGGAUAAUGUCUGUAUUGUGAUAGUUGGAUAAUGUGUCUGUUGUGAUAGUUGGAUAAUGUGUCUGUAUUGUGAUAGUUGGAUAAUGUGUCUGUAUUGUGAUAGGUGGUUGUGAUAGUAGGAUAUUAUGUCAGUGUUGUGAUAGUUGGAUAAUGUGUCUGUAUUGUGCUAGUUGGUUGUGAUAGUAGGAUAUUAUGUCUGUGUUGUGAUAGUUGGAUAAUAUGUCUGUGUUGUGAUAGUUGGAUAAUGUGUCUGUGUUGUGAUAGUUGGAUAAUGUGUCUGUGUUGUGAUAGUUGGAUAAUGUGUCUGUGUUGUGAUAGUUGGAUAAUGUGUCUGUAUUGUGAUAGGUGGUUGUGAGAGUAGGAUAAUGUCUGUAUUGUGAUAGGUGGUUGUGAGAGUAGGAUAAUGUCUGUAUUGUGAUAGUUGGAUAAUGUGUCUGUAUUGUGAUAGUUGGAUAAUGUGUCUGUAUUGUGAUAGUUGGAUAAUGUGUCUGUAUUGUGAUAGUUGGUUGUGAUAGUAGGAUAAUAUGUCUGUAUUGUGAUAGUUGGAUAAUGUGUCUGUGUUGUGAUAGUUGGAUAAUGUGUCUGUGUUGUGAUAGUAGGAUAAUGUGUCUGUGUUGUGAUAGUUGGAUAAUGUGUCAGUAUUGUGAUAGUUGGAUAAUGUGUCUGUGUUGUGAUAGUUGGAUAAUGUGUCUGUGUUGUGAUAGUAGGAUAAUGUGUCUGUGUUGUGAUAGUUGGAUAAUGUGUCUGUAUUGUGAUAGUUGGUUGUGAUAGUAGGAUAAUAUGUCUGUAUUGUGAUAGUUGGAUAAUGUGUCUGUGUUGUGAUAGUUGGAUAAUGUGUCUGUGUUGUGAUAGUAGGAUAAUGUGUCUGUGUUGUGAUAUGUCUGUAUUGUGAUAGUUGGAUAAUGUGUCUGUAUUGUGAUAGUUGGUUGUGAUAGUAGGAUAAUGUGUCUGUGUUGUGAUAGUUGGAUAAUGUGUCUGUAUUGUGAUAGUUGGUUGUGAGAGUAGGAUAAUGUCUGUAUUGUGAUAGGUGGUUGUGAGAGUAGGAUAAUGUCUGUAUUGUGAUAGUUGGAUAAUGUGUCUGUAUUGUGAUAGUUGGUUGUGAUAGUUGGAUAAUAUGUCUGUAUUGUGAUAGUUGGAUAAUGUGUCUGUGGUGUGAUAGUUGGAUAAUGUGUCUGUGGUGUGAUAGUUGGAUAAUGUGUCUGUAUUGUGAUAGUUGGUUGUGAUAGUUGGAUAAUAUGUCUGUAUUGUGAUAGUUGGAUAAUGUGUCUGUGGUGUGAUAGUUGGAUAAUGUGUCUGUAUUGUGAUAGUUGGAUAAUGUGUCUG